ACUCUUCAAACCUCUCCCUGCAGGAGCUGAGGGAGAAAUCAGCGCUCAUUCUGGGCAGAAAUGAUGGAUUGACCCCACAUGACAUGACAUCUAGAACAGGCACUUGUGUAGGCAAGCAUUAGGCUUUGAGCCCCCGACCUCCUUUUCUCUUUCAUGUUUUCUUCUCUGAGCACAGAUGACUAAACAGUCUGAGAUGGAAAUGCCCAGCCUCGUAGGCAGCCUCACAAGUUUGAGAGGCUGGAAGAAGCCCGAGUCUCUCAGCUGGAGGUUGUUAUCACCUUAUGUAACCAUUUGGCUUUUGAUCUGGAAGAGGACCAUGACAUCAGGAAGAUGAUGCCAUGACUUGCAAAUGAAUUGGAUUUAAGUGAGGGAGGGCUGUACAAGUCACUACCCUCACUUUAUCCUCCACAGCCAUCUGGAUCCAAUGGGCAGAUAAAGAUUAGGACGACUGGAGUUGGCUCAGCUGUUAUCACCUUCCUUGUUAUCUUGGCAAUCAGACUUUCAUCAGAGAUAUCUGCUGCAUAUAUGUUUUCCCAGUUAACUACUUUUCUUCUGAUUUUUAGCUGCAUUGAUUUUGUUCAUACAAAAGGUUUCAGUUUUGUGUAAUCAAAGUUUGAUCUCUCCAUUCUCUCCACUCCUAAAGUAAUCAUUGUCUUUUCCUCUCAUUCUUUGACUUCUAUUGUUCCUGAUCUUUUUCCUGAUGCACUGCAAGAAAUUUGAGUAUUGUGCCUAGCACACAGUGUACAUAGUAGGUGUUUAAUACAUGUUUGAAUGCAUUUACCAUUUUGUUACCACUUACUGUCAUUAAAAAUAAUAACUAA